GGCUCUGUAGCUUAGUCGGUAAAGUACUAAUGUAGCAUAUAAGGGUCGUGAGUUAAAAUCUCACUUGAGCUG
rnacentral:tRNA from 1 species